GACGAACGCUGGCGGCGUGCUUAACACAUGCAAGUCGAGCGGUAAGGCCCUUUCGGGGUACGACGAGCGGCGAACGGGUGAGUAACACGUGGGUGACCUGCCCUCAGCUCUGGGAUAAGCCUGGGAAACCGGGUCUAAUACUGGAUAUGACUCCAUGACGCAUGUUGUGGGGUGAAAGCCUUGUGCGGCUGAGGAUGGGCCCGCGGCCUAUCAGCUUUGUUGGUGGGGUGAGGCCUACCAAGGCGACGACGGGUAGCCGGCCUGAGAGGGCGACCGGCCACACUGGGACUGAGACACGGCCCAGACUCCUACGGGAGGCAGCAGUGGGGAAUCUUGCGCAAUGGGCGAAAGCCUGACGCAGCGACGCCGCGUGAGGGAUGACGGCCUGGUGUAACGU
rnacentral:rRNA from 1 species